rnacentral:lncRNA from 1 species
UAAUGUUUAUGGUUAAUCCCUGUUGUACAUGAUCUUGAUGUAAAUGUUUUAAUGUUAUGGUAUGUUGAACCAAGCUUGAUGUAUGAGAUGUUAACCCAACUGGAGCAUUUGAUGAGGGCUCCAGUAAGGGGUUUUAUGUUUACAGUAUAAUGCAUGCAGGUCGAGCUUGGUAUAUGUGAAAGUUUAAAGUUUUUAUGAAAAUGUAUGAUCAUGUAUGGGAUUGUAUCAGAUGUACAGGAUGUAUAGUAGGCUUGCUACGGGUCCCGGCGACCUUAAGUCGAUCUGGAUCCUAGCGCCGGUAGCGGUCCGGUUUCUG